AACGACUACACCACGACUGUUAUGAACCUAUUCAAAUUUGGCCACGCUCAUCACGAUUACGAAGACCUCAAUGCUCAUUAAGACCUCACUACGACCUAACUGCGAUCUACACGAUUUCACUCAUUCGUUAAAAUUUCCUUUUUUUCACAGAUUGUUGUUCGAUCAUGGCCUAGUGUGACUGCGGUAUAAUGACCUGACUAUGUUCAUACUACGACCAACAUGCUCAUUUUCAUUGUCACAUAAACUAACGGCCUAGUUUAUAUUUAAAAAAGAAAUGAAUGAAAAGCAAAAUUAAUAUGUAACACAGCAACAAACGACAAAACUGAAUUACAGGCUUCUGACUUGGGAUCGGCACAUACAGAAUAUGGCGUGGCUAAUGUAAAUAUGUUAGUGGGAUCACAACCCUCCCCAUAACCUUGGAUAGUGGUGUAACUACAAACACUAUAAAAAUCAGUGGAAAAAGGCUUAUAUUAUCGCAUAAGAUGGAUACAAAUAGAAAUACAGAUAAGUUUAGUUUCUGUUGUUUUGUUGUUUUCCUCUUAUAGUUGAUGUGUUCUCCGCAGUUUUAGUUUGUAACCCGGAUUUGUUUUCUCUCAAUCGAUUUUUGACUCUCGAACAGCGGUAUAUUACUGGUGCCUUUAUUUAUGCGAAUGUAAGUAUGAUGAUAAUGUUUGAUAAUUAAAUGAAUGUAUUUAAUUUUAAGAGAGUAAAAUUGUGUUUGUGUUCAUUCUUACAAACAGAUGCGAAACAAAAACCGAAAUAUAUAUAAACUAAACCAAACAGACUUAUACAUGUUUUUGUGAAUUAUUUGCACGCAGGAAAUAUUUUUACGCAUUCGUUGAUUUGUCUAAUAUGUCUCAGGAAAAUGCACAAUUACAAUGCAUUACUAGCUUUUAUGAGUGGAAGGAAUUCAGAUUUUAAACGACAAAGCUUCAUUGUUAUAGUCAUAAAAAUAUACAUGGGC
rnacentral:lncRNA from 1 species